AUUGAACGCUAGCGGGAUGCUUUACACAUGCAAGUCGAACGAGUGGCGGACGGGUGAGUAAUGUAUCGGAACGUGCCCAGUAGCGGGGGAUAACUACUCGAAAGGGUGGCUAAUACCGCAUACUAUUAGAUGGGCCGAUAUGGGAUUAGCUAGUUGGUGGGGUAAAGGCUCACCAAGGCGACGAUCCGUAGCUGGUUUGAGAGGACGACCAGCCACACUGGGACUGAGACACGGCCCAGACUCCUACGGGAGGCAGCAGUGGGGAAUUUUGGACAAUGGGGGAAACCCUGAUGCAGCCAUCCCGCGUGUAUGAGAAGGCCCUAGGGUUGUAAAGUACUUUCAGCCGGGAGGCGUUACCGGCAGAAGAAGCACCGGCUAACUCCGUGCCAGCCGCCGCGGUAAUUC
rnacentral:rRNA from 1 species